AACGAUGAACCACUUCGGUGGGGAUUAGUGGCGAACGGGUGAGUAACACGUGGGCAAUCUGCCCUUCACUCUGGGACAAGCCCUGGAAACGGGGUCUAAUACCGGAUACAACACUCUCGGGCAUCCGGUGAGUGUGGAAAGCUCCGGCGGUGAAGGAUGAGCCCGCGGCCUAUCAGCUUGUUGGUGAGGUAACGGCUCACCAAGGCGACGACGGGUAGCCGGCCUGAGAGGGCGACCGGCCACACUGGGACUGAG
rnacentral:rRNA from 1 species